rnacentral:rRNA from 1 species
GACGAACGCUGGCGGCGUGCUUAACACAUGCAAGUCGAACGGAAAGGCCCUGCUUUUGUGGGGUGCUCGAGUGGCGAACGGGUGAGUAACACGUGAGUAACCUGCCCUUGACUUUGGGAUAACUUCAGGAAACUGGGGCUAAUACCGGAUAGGAGCUCCUGCUGCAUGGUGGGGGUUGGAAAGUUUCGGCGGUUGGGGAUGGACUCGCGGCUUAUCAGCUUGUUGGUGGGGUAGUGGAUUACCAAGGCUUUGACGGGUAGCCGGCCUGAGAGGGGGACCGGGCACAUGGGGACUGAGAGACGGACCAGACUGCUACGGGAGGCAGCAGUGGGGAAUAUUGCACAAUGGGCCGAAGCCUGAUGCAGCAACGCCGCGUGCGGGAUAAUGGCCUUCGGGGUGUAAACCGCUUUGGCAUGUGACGAAGCGUGAGUGACGGUAAUGGGUAAAGAAGCACCGGCUAACUACGUG